GCAACCGGAUGAAAUGGAUACAGAGGGCAGGCAGAAGGUGGAGGCAGGAGCUACAGGCAGGGUGGCUCUCUGGAGGCAAUAUAUCUUGGAAGACUUGCCAAGUUCCUCUAUAUCAUCAAGAAGAGAAAAGCAUUCUAGGAUCUUAGAGACUCCAGGGUGAUUUUAACCUUCUGGCUCCUAGACAAAUCCUGCUGAAAAAUGCUUAACCAUGUCAGCACUCCAUGUGAACCUUUGGCAAAGAAGAUUCGCCAGGAGCAAAGAAUCCACAGAAUUAAGAUGGCAGCUCAAGAAUAUAAAAUAAAAUUAUAUGCUGACGAUGUGGUCCUCACUAUUAG